UCCCACAAGACAACACAUCGUAUAUUGUUGAAUUGCAGAAUGUUAAACAGAUGGACUCGUCAUGUUUGGAUUCAAAUUAAUAACACAACGUUGCCUUUUCUUAGGGUUUAGAGUUGAUUAACAAGUGUGAUUUUUUCUUUAAUCUUGACCUAUUAAUUGGGUUGUUUCUGAAUUUGGCCAUCCUGCCAUGGCUAAUAAUUCUCAUUUCACUGCCAUGCAGCCUCCUAUACCGCCUCUGAGUGGUCCUCCUCAGGGUGCUAUUCCAUCCAUGUCGCUGCAGCAGUUCCAGCCGAUGCUUCCACCCCAGCAGGCACAACCAUAUGUUUCUGGGUCAUCUCAACAAUUUCAGCCACUUGGACAUGCAAAUGUUGCGAUGCCUCCUCAACCUUCACAAAUUCCUCAACCUAUGCAACAGGUUGCUGGUAGACCUGUAGUAGGAGGGCAUAGUAUGCCUCAGGGACCACCUAUUCCCCAUGAUUUUCAGCGAAACCCUCCGAUAUCAAAUAACCACAUGCCUGGUUUUGGUGGCCCAAGUUUGCCUCUACCUUCUUCAUAUAAUCAGGUCAAUGCAGAUUCUUCCAGCUCCCAGUAUCAGACACAGAUACAUGAUCAUAGGUUUCCGUCAGGGGGGCAACCCUGGAUGCCAACAAGUAAUCAUAAUGUGAAUUCUGCGACAACUAUGCAGAAGACUGGAGAAUUAGCAGCUCCCUUGGCUGUUCUAGAAGCAAAUCACAGGGGUGACUCUGUUGAGACUACUCCGUCAGAUUGGAUUGAGCAUACUUCUCGAAAUGGGAAAAAAUACUAUUAUAAUAGAAGGACAAGAAUCUCUAGCUGGGAGAAGCCUCUAGAGCUGAUGACAGAAAUGGAGAGGGCAGAUGCAUCAACUGACUGGAGAGAAUUUACAAGUCCUGAGGGAAGAAAGUAUUACUACAACAAGGUUACUAGAAAGUCAAAAUGGAAAAUGCCUGAUGAAGUCAAGUUGGCUCGUGAGAGUAUGAAAGUGGAGGUAGUCAAGGGAUUGGGAAAAGAAAAGGACACUAUUUCACACGCCUCUGAUUUUGGAUCCGUUUCUGGUGUUAAAACAUCAUCCCCGGGUGCAGAUGGUUCAUUAGUCUUGGCACAAAGAGCUAUGUCAAGCCCAGUAGCUGUGGCACCAGUUGCUAACUUACCAACUAUUGUGGCUUCAGAAUCAUCAAAUUUACCUGGUAAGGUUUCUUCUCCAACGAUUGACGCAGUCGAAAUGCAGAAUUCUUCAGAACCUGCUUCGCCAGCUGUUGCUAAUUCAGAGAAAAUUGGAAUAGCAAUAACCUUGGGAAAUUCUGUCGCAACGCCAGUUUCUGAGACUACUUCAGCUCAGGAUGCAGUAGUGUAUGGCGGUGGAGUUUCUCCGGACAAUACGGAGGAAGUUAAGAAAGAUGCUGCACUAUCUGAAAUAGGAAAUGCUACUCCUUCAGAAGAGAAAACCGUCGAGCUGGGACCAUUAAUUUAUGAGAGCAAAGCGGAGGCAAAGAGUGCAUUCAAGACUCUUCUGGAAUCUGCAAAUAUUGGGUCUGACUGCACGUGGGAUCAGGGCAUGAGAGCAAUAAUCAAUGACCCAAGAUAUGGUGCUCUAAAAUCCCUUGGUGAGCGGAAGCAAGCUUUUAAUGAGUAUCUGAGCCAAAAGAAAAAACUGGAAGCUGAAGAGAGACGUGUUAAACAGAAAAAAGCUCGUGAAGAUUUCAGGAUAAUGUUAGAAGAUUGCAAGGAGCUGUUGCCAUCCUCAAGAUGGAGUAAGGCAAUCUCCAUAUUCGAACAUGAUGAACGUUUUAAAGCUGUUGAGCGAGCUAAAGACCGUGAGGACCUUUUUGAAGAUUAUGUGGAGGAACUUGAGAAAAAGGAGCGUGCAAGGGCAUUGGAGGAGCAGAAGCGCAAUAGAGUGGAGUAUUUAGAAUUCUUAAAAUCCUGUGACUUUAUUAAGGCCAGUAGCCAGUGGCGGAAAGUUCAGGACCGCUUAGAAGCUGAUGAAAGAUGCUCUCGCCUUGAGAAAAUUGAUCGCUUGGAGAUUUUCCAGGAAUAUUUACGUGAUUUAGAGAGGGAAGAGGAGGAGCAAAGGAAACUGCGGAUGGAAGAAUUGAGGAAAGCAGAACGUAAAAAUCGUGAUGAGUUCCGAAAACUGAUGGAAGAGCAUGUUGCUGCGGGAAUACUUAAUGCAAAAACUCACUGGCGUGAUUAUUGCAUCAAAAUCAAAGAUUUAGCUGCAUAUCUGGCUGUCUCAUCAAAUGCUUCAGGGUCAACAGCAAAAGACUUAUUUGCAGAUGUUUUUGAUGAGCUGGAGAAACAGUAUCUUGAUGACAAGUCACGAAUUAGAGAUGCAGUGAGGAUGACCGAGAUUGGAUUGACAUCAACCUGGACGCUUGAAGAUUUUAAAGUUGCAAUUGCAAAAUGCAUUAGCUCUCCACCAAUAUCAGAUACCAACUUAAAGUUUGUCUUUGAAGAGUUACUAGAAAGGGCCAGGGAGAGAGAAGAAAAAGAAGCUAAAAGGCAUAAACGUCUAGUAGAUGAGUUCUAUGAACUUCUUCAUGCAUCAAAGGAAAUUACUGCAUUGUCGAAAUGGGAGGACUGCAAAUCCCUCUUCGGAGAUAGAAUAAUGGGUGAUGAGAGCUUGGUGCUGGAAAUAUUUGACAAGUUUGUUAAUGAACUAAAAGAAAAGGCAAAAGAGAAGGAGUGGAAGCGUCAAGAGGAUAAGGCAAGAAAAGAGAAGGAAAGGAAAGAUAGAGAAAAGAAGAAGGAAAAGCAUAGGAGGGAUAAAGACAGAGGGGAAAAAAGCAGGAAAGAGAGAGAAAGAACCAAGAAAGAUGGUACAGACAGCGACAAGGCUGAGACAUACAGUUUCGAGGAGAUCAAAAGGUCAGGAAGUGACAGAGAUAAGAAACACCGCAAGCGGCAUACAAGUUCCUUUGAUGACGAUGAAAAUGAGAAAGAUCAUUCAAGAAGUUCUCACAGACAUGACAGUGAUCAUAAGAAAUCAAAACAGAGCUUUGAUAUAACAGAUGGACCAGCACGUCUGGAGUUCGGAAGCUAAUUCGGAGGGCCAGCAUAAGAAACAAAAGCGAGAUCAUCGGACUGAUUCUCAUAGGGAUGGUGACUAUGAGGAUCACAAAGAUUGUGAAUUUGCAGGGGAGUAGGAAAUUGAUUUGUGCCUGAGGAUGGUAGUAUCAAAGAGAGAACUUAGUGUUGGUCUGUCGGUGAAGCCGCAUUCAAUCCAGAAGAAAGUUGUAAGACGAUUCAGGGCUGAGGUGCAUAAUUUUCUUCCGUGCAUCCUCCUCGAUGUUUUGUCUUUGCUGCUUGUAGAAAUUUAAUCAAGUUUAUGUACAAGUUUUGGUAUUAGCAUGUUUGUUGCAACCAAGAGAUGGGUUGAUAUCGUCAAACUCUUAAAAUAUGUAACAUGUAGUUCCCUCAGCUUGAGGUGUUUAAGCGAUAUGAAUUCGUCCUGUGCCUGUGUAUUUGAGUUCUGAUUUUGUUUCUAGAA